rnacentral:rRNA from 1 species
CCUACGAGAGUCUGCAGUAGGGAAUUUUCGUCAAUGGGCGCAAGCCUGAACGAGCAAUGCCGCGUGAACGAGGAAGGUCUUCGGAUCGUAAAGUUCUGUUGAAGGGGAAAAAGAGCGGAGAGAGGAAAUGGUCUCCGCUUGAUAUUACCCUUCGAGGAAGUCACGGCUAACUACGUGCCAGCAGCUGCGGUAAUACGUAGGUGGCGAGCGUUAUCCGGAAUGAUUGGGCGUAAAGGGUGCGUAGGCGGCCUGCUAAGUCUGGAGUGAAAGGUACGGGCUAAACCGGUAUAGGCUCUGGAAACUGGCGGGCUAGAGAGCAGGAGAGGGCGGUGGAACUCCAUGUGUAGCGGUAAAAUGCGGAGAUAUAUGGAAGAACACCAGUGGCGAAGGCGGCCGCCUGGCCUGUUACUGACGCUGAGGCACGAAAGCGUGGGGAGCAAAUAGGAUUAGAUACCCCUGUAGUC